rnacentral:rRNA from 1 species
UACGUAGGUGGCAAGCGUUGUCCGGAAUUAUUGGGCGUAAAGCGCGCGCAGGUGGUUCCUUAAGUCUGAUGUGAAAGCCCACGGCUCAACCGUGGAGGGUCAUUGGAAACUGGGGAACUUGAGUGCAGAAGAGGAAAGUGGAAUUCCACGUGUAGCGGUGAAAUGCGUAGAGAUGUGGAGGAACACCAGUGGUGUAGACGGCUUUCUGGACCGUAACUGACGCUGAGACACGAAAAGCGUGGGUAGCAAACAGG